CUCCGGUUGAUCCUGCCGGACCCGACUGCUAUCAGAGUGGGACUAAGCCAUGCGAGUCAUUGUAGCAAUAUGUGGCGUACGGCUCAGUAACACGUAGUCAACCUGCCCUGGGGACGUGGAUAACCUCGGGAAACUGAGGAUAAACCGCGAUAGGUCAUCACUUCUGGAAUGGGUAAUGACUUAAAUCUAUAUGGCCCCUGGAUGGGACUGCGGCCGAUCAGGCUGUUGGUGAGGUAAUGGCCCACCAAGCCGGUAACCGGUACGGGCUCUGAGAGGAGGAGCCCGGAGAUGGGCACUGAGACAAGGGCCCAGGCCCUAUGGGGCGCAGCAGGCGCGAAACCUCUGCAAUAGGCGAAAGCUUGACAGGGUCACUCUGAGUGAUUUCCGUUAAGGAGAUCUUUUGGCACCUCUAAAAAUGGCGCAGAAUAAGGGGUGGGCAAGUCUGGUGUCAGCCGCCGCGGUAAUACCAGCACCUCGAGUGGUCGGGACGUUUAUUGGGCCUAAAGCAUCCGUAGCCGGUUCUACAAGUCUUCCGUUAAAUCCACCUGCUUAACAGAUGGGCUGCGGAAGAUACUAUAGAGCUAGGAGGCGGGAGAGGCAAGCGGUACUCGAUGGGUAGGGGUAAAAUCCGUUGAUCCAUUGAAGACCACCAGUGGCGAAGGCGGUUUGCCAGAACGCGCUCGACGGUGAGGGAUGAAAGCUGGGGGAGCAAACCGGAUUAGAUACCCGGGUAGUCCCAGCUGUAAACGAUGCAGACUCGGUGAUGAGUUGGCUUAUUGCUAACUCAGUGCCGCAGGGAAGCCGUUAAGUUUGCCGCCUGGGGAGUACGGUCGCAAGACUGAAACUUAAAGGAAUUUGCGGGGGAACA
rnacentral:rRNA from 1 species